CGCGGCGCGCGUCAAGGGUGCGCCACAUGGCCACGGGACACGCACAUAGGGUCCGCGCCACAGUGGUUGCAGCCACGCCCCACGCCUGCCAUGGACAACGCGCCAGUAGGCGGGCGAUGCGCACGGGGUCAUUCGAGGCCAGCGUCGCGGCGGUCCAGACACCAAGAUCAGGAGCCAGGCGCGACGAUAACUCGGCGCGCGCCAGCGACGACUGGGUCGCCCAGCGCAUGAUGGCAUCAAAACAAGAACCAUCGUGUGCGCGAUUGAGCGCUGCGCCAACAGACACGUCGCUCCAGGGUAUACGAAAAGGACCUGCGGCGGCCCAGUCGACGGCGUCAAUAUGGCCACGCGCGAGGGCAUCGGCCACGUAGGAAGGUGACAUUGUCGGUCGUCGGGCGGAAGCAGGCCCAUGGGUAUUGUUGUUGGCCCGAUGCCUCUUGGGCGCGCGCGACGGCGCCAACCCAGACGGUCGGUCGCAUUCGUCGGCAGAGGCGCCCUCGGCCAAAGGCGCAGCCGACAGUUUCAAAAGAAGGGACGCGCAGGCGACAUGUCCGUGCGCGACGGCGAUCGAAGCGUGCGAUGACGUUGGAUACUUGGCGCGCGCCACAAGUAUCGCCAGCAGGUCGAGAUCAGCGUGCUCGGCCACGGCUGUCCAUAGGGCGUGUGUGGGCGCUGGAGUGACAUUGUCAACGAGCCAUGCGAGUAUAUCGGCGUGCUUGGACUUGGCCGCGGCAUUGGUGACGUCUUCUGCCACGCGCAUCGCCUUUUGCUGUGAGACAUGUGGCCAUAGCAGCACCACCAUGUCCAGGCGUCCGACGCCGGCUGCGACGACGAGCGCCGGCGCCAGGUCGACCGCGCGCCCACUGAAUUGGCCCUUUUCAACGCGCUCGGUGAGCAGCCAGCGCAGUGCGUCCAUGUGGCUGUUGCGCGCCGCAGAUUCGAUCCAUCUCUCCAGGCGCGCACUCUCGGGCCGAAGUAGUACGCCAAUGCGAUCCAAAAGAUCGACUCGACCGGCAUACAGGAUGGCAUCGAGGGCGCGGUCGGUGGGCCACACGUGCGGAUAGUGGGCAACAACAUGGACGAUCCCGGCGUCCAGACCGGGUGCUCGAAGGCGGCCAUUAUACUCCCAGCCAAAAUUGUUGCAUGCAAAGCCCCCACGCGCGGCGCAUACACGGCAACGACGCCACAGAGUCAUGGCCAUGUCGAUGGCAUCGGCACGGCCUGAGCGUACUGCACCCGACACAAUGGCACACGGGGCCACCUGGUGCCCGUCGACGUUGUCAUCAUCAAGGAGGACAUUGUGCCCGUCGGCAUUGUCGACGAGGCCGUCGCUAUUGUCGGCAACAUCGGCAUAGCCUGGUACGUAGACACCCAGUCCUGCCGUCGCCAUCGCCAACGUACGGUCAAAGAGGACGGUGCCGGCAUACACUCUGAAUGCGUGCGCGGCCUCGAUGGCAAUGUCGACGCGCCCGGCCAGCGCGGCCGCCUUGGCCAUGUGGCGGUGGGCGCCCGGACGGUCGAGAAAGAUCUCGGGCAAGUGACGCCAUACCCAAGAGAGGGCAUCGUCUGGCCGUGUGCUCAUCGCCGCGGCGUUGACCAUGGCCUCACAAUCAGACCCAGAGGCGCG
rnacentral:lncRNA from 1 species